CAAAGAGGGGGACAACAGUUGGAAACGACUGCUAAUACCGCAUAAGCCCACGGCUCGGCAUCGAGCAGAGGGAAAAGGAGUGAUCCGCUUUGAGAUGGCCUCGCGUCCGAUUAGCUGGUCGGUGAGGUAACGGCCCACCAAGGCAACGAUCGGUAGCCGGACUGAGAGGUUGAACGGCCACAUUGGGACUGAGACACGGCCCAGACUCCUACGGGAGGCAGCAGUGGGGAAUAUUGCACAAUGGGGGAAACCCUGAUGCAGCGACGCCGCGUGGAGGAAGAAGGUCUUCGGAUUGUAAACUCCUGUUGUUGAGGAAGAUAAUGACGGUACUCAACAAGGAAGUGACGGCUAACUACGUGCCAGCAGCCGCGGUAAAACGUAGGUCACAAGCGUUGUCCGGAAUUACUGGGUGUAAAGGGAGCGCAGGCGGGAGAACAAGUUGGAAGUGAAAUCCAUGGGCUCAACCCAUGAACUGCUUUCAAAACUGUUUUUCUUGAGUAGUGCAGAGGUAGGCGGAAUUCCCGGUGUAGCGGUGGAAUGCGUAGAUAUCGGGAGGAACACCAGUGGCGAAGGCGGCCUACUGGGCACCAACUGACGCUGAGGCUCGAAAGUGUGGGUAGCAAA
rnacentral:rRNA from 1 species